GGGGGCGAUUGGUUUCGACAGGGAUGAUGAAACCCUUGUUGCAUGUCGCGGGUCUCGGUCUCCGCGUUAGAAAGGCUGAAAAUUAUAUCUGCAAAUGAUGAUGUAGAAAUGGCGAUGGCUGCGUAAGUAGUCCUCUCGCUCUGUCCUUGAUGUCAGUACCUACGGGGCAUCUUGGGCAUAACGCCAGUGGGUUGGCCAAUGGGUUUGGUUCGGUGGACCCUGCGGCGAGAUUUUCACCGGGCUCCCCCGAUGCUCAGCCUGUUCGUGGGCGUAGCUAGGGGUAAAUUAAAACACGAAAUAAACAUGUAGAUGCGAGUGGCGGACCGUUUCUGGACCCGGGUUCGACUCCCGGCGCCUCCACCA
rnacentral:tmRNA from 1 species